rnacentral:sRNA from 1 species
CUGGCAUCAGGACGUAAACACCACGUACAAUAGGGUGAGAUGUCUCCCAUGCUAACUGGUGACGCCUUUGGCGUAAGGCUGAGGUACUCCUGCCUGUACUACGGUCCAAGCAAAAGCUUAAGUGGUUCAUUCUUUCAGACACCACGACAUUGCAAUUCAUCAGCUUACUAUCAAUAUGUCGGUAAUUGCAUAUUGACAUGACUCAACGUAAACUGUAAAACUUACAUGCGAGGCUGCUGUUGCUAUGUACGACGAUAAACGCACCAAACUUCGUGUCAAACCUACCAUAAACGCGUUGUUUUGACCAAGAAUUAGAAUAGAGAUUGACUUCUUUUAUAAUGGCG